rnacentral:rRNA from 1 species
UACGAAGGGUGCAAGCGUUAAUCGGAAUUACUGGGCGUAAAGCGCGCGUAGGUGGUUCAGUAAGUUGGAUGUGAAAUCCCCGGGCUCAACCUGGGAACUGCAUCCAAAACUGCUGAGCUAGAGUACGGUAGAGGGUGGUGGAAUUUCCUGUGUAGCGGUGAAAUGCGUAGAUAUAGGAAGGAACACCAGUGGCGAAGGUGACCACCUGGACUGAUACUGACACUGAGGUGCGAAAGCGUGGGGAGCAAACAGG